UGGCCGCGCAAGUUCGUCGGGAAAUCCAUCGGCUCAACCGAUGGGCGUCCGGCGAAAACUGCACGGCUUGGGACCGGAAGGCUCGAGGGGUACGUCCGGGGUAGGAGUGAAAUCCCGUAAUCCUGGACGGACCACCGAUGGCGAAAGCACCUCGAGAAGACGGAUCCGACAGUGAGGGACGAAAGCUGGGGUCUCGAACCGGAUUAGAUACCCGGGUAGUCCCAGCCGUAAACGAUGCCAGUUAGGUGUGGCGCAGGCUACGAGCCUGCGCUGUGCCGUAGGGAAGCCGAGAAACUGGCCGCCUGGGAA
rnacentral:rRNA from 1 species